UAUUGUUUAUUAAGACUUAUGUUAAGCUCAAUGUAAAGCAUGCGAAGAAUACCUCCCAGGCGUGCUUAUGCAAGAUAACCAUCAGAGAUAAGACAAGCAACCCCAUAUCACCAGGAAGCAGGAAACGACCCCCUAACAACAACUGAAGCAUGCGAAAAGUACCUCCACUAUCUCAUUGAACAUGGAAGUAAAGAUGUAUAAAGAGAGACUGUUUGAACUGCUCAGUACGGCAGUUGGCGGAGCGCAGACUCCCCUGCCGUCCAGCGCUGUAUUUGCUCAUAUUCUACUUGCUACAAUUAAUAAAAUUCUAAUUGGAUUAUGAUCCAUUGUGGUCUCAAUUUAUGACAAUUUGGUGCCGUGACUCGGAUAAGGAACGGUGAGCUUCUGUCCUCCGGGGAGGCGCCCCGCGGCAAUCCGCGGCCCCGCGACCGACAGCUUACCUCAACCUUACCGACGAACCUAAAUUCUAGAAUGAUGAGCAAAGGAGAAACCGGUAAAAUCCCAUAAAAAUUCUGUGCACGGGAGUCCGGACGAAGACGCAGGGCGCAAACAGCUGUCCGGACUGCUGAGCGUGGAUGGACUCAUGCCAGUCGCAUUAAAGGCCCAGUGACGAGACCCCACUGGAAAGUAAUCAGUACUCCAGGUGACACCAAGAUAACUCUGAAAAGAUAACGUAAUGAUAAGAACUUUAGUUGAUUAUUUUGCCGCAUUACCUUUUGGUAUAAAGUGUAUAUUGCUGUUUA